AUUGAACGCUGGCGGCAGGCCUAACACAUGCAAGUCGAACGAGUGGCGGACGGGUGCGUCAUGCCUGAGAAAAUGCCUGAUGGAGGGGGAAAACGACUGAAAACGGUAGCGACUACCGCACACCAUCGGAUGUGCCGAGAUGGGAUUAGCUAGUAGGUGGGGUAAAGGCUCACCUCGGCGACGAUGCCUAGCUGGUCUGAGAGGAUGACCAGCCACACUGGAACUGAGACACGGUCCAGACUCCGACGGGAGGCAGCGGUAGGGAAUAUUGCACAAUGGGCGCAAGCCGGAUGCAGCCAUGCCGCGUGUAUGAAGAAGGCCUGCGGGUUGUAAAGUUCUUUCAGAGGGGAGGCGUUACCCGCAGAAAAAGCACCGGCUAACUCGGUGCCAGCAGCCGCGGUAAUAC
rnacentral:rRNA from 1 species